UACGUAGGGGGCAAGCGUUGUCCGGAAUCAUUGGGCGUAAAGCGCGUGUAGGCGGUUCGGUAAGUCUGCUGUGAAAGUCCAGGGCUCAACCCUGGGAUGCCGGUGGAUACUGUCGGACUAGAGUACGGAAGAGGCGAGUGGAAUUCCCGGUGUAGCGGUGAAAUGCGCAGAUAUCGGGAGGAACACCAAUGGCGAAGGCAGAUCUCUGGGCCGUAACUGACGCUGAGGAGCGAAAGUGUGGGGAGCGAACAGG
rnacentral:rRNA from 1 species